GAUGAACGCUGGCGGCGUGCCUAAUACAUGCAAGUAGAACGCUGAAGGAGGAGCUUGCUCUUCUGGAUGAGUUGUGAACGGGUGAGUAACGCGUAGGUAACCUGCCUGGUAGCGGGGGAUAACUAUUGGAAACGAUAGCUAAUACCGCAUGACAACAGUUAUUGCAUGAUAACUGUUUAAAAGGGGCAACUGCUCCACUACCAGAUGGACCUGCGUUGUAUUAGCUAGUUGGUGAGGUAACGGCUCACCAAGGCGACGAUACAUAGCCGACCUGAGAGGGGGAUCGGCCACACUGGGACUGAGACACGGCCCAGACUCCUACGGGAGGCAGCAGUAGGGAAUCUUCGGCAAUAGACGGAAGUCUGACCGAGCAACGCCGCGUGAGUGAAGAAGGUUGUCGGAUCGUAAAGCUCUGUUGUAAGAGAAGAACGAGUGUGAGAGUGGAAAGUUCACACUGUGACGGUAUCUUACCAGAAAGGGACGGCUAACUACGUG
rnacentral:rRNA from 1 species